rnacentral:rRNA from 1 species
AGCUCCACGAGCGUAUAUUAGAGUUGUUGCAGUUAAAACGUGCGUAGUCGAAGUUGAUGGGUGCCGUAUGCUCAGAACCUGUCGCUUGUCGGCGGGCCUCACUGCGGUGGUCCCAUUAUUCACCCGCCAACGACGGCGCUCGCUCUGCGGGUUGCUUUCCCCUCACGGGGUGGACGGCGGGUGAUUUACCUCGAACAAAUGAGAGCGCUUGAGGUAGGCGAGAAUGUUGCCUGAAUCGAUUAGCAUGGAAUAGCAGAUGGACAGCGAUGUCUGUUUGUUGGUUUGAGACGUUGCUGUAAUGAUUAAUAGGGGUACUCGGGGCCAACCGUAUUCAGCGGAUAGAGGUGAAAUUCUAUGACCCGCUGAGGACGCCCUAAUGCGAAAGCAGUUGGCAAGGGUAUCUUCA